AGCGAACGCUGGCGGCAGGCCUAACACAUGCAAGUCGAACGGAUCCUUCGGGAUUAGUGGCGGACGGGUGAGUAACACGUGGGAACGUGCCCUUUGGUUCGGAACAACUCAGGGAAACUUGAGCUAAUACCGGAUGUGCCCUUCGGGGGAAAGAUUUAUCGCCAUUGGAGCGGCCCGCGUCUGAUUAGCUAGUUGGUGAGGUAACGGCCCACCAAGGCGACGAUCAGUAGCUGGUCUGAGAGGAUGAUCAGCCACACUGGGACUGAGACACGGCCCAGACUUCUACGGGAGGCAGCAGUGGGGAAUCUUGCGCAAUGGGCGAAAGCCUGACGCAGCCAUGCCGCGUGAAUGAUGAAGGUCUUAGGAUUGUAAAAUUCUUUCAGCGGGGACGAUAAUGACGGUACCCGCAGAAGAAGCUCCGGCUAACUUCGUG
rnacentral:rRNA from 1 species